UAUUGAACGCUGGCGGCAUGCCUUACACAUGCAAGUCGAACGGCAUCGCGGGAAAGCUUGCUUUCCUGGCGGCGAGUGGCGAACGGGUGAGUAACACAUCGGAACGUACCGGCUAGUGGGGGAUAACCCGUCGAAAGACGGGCUAAUACCGCAUACGCUCUUAGGAGGAAAGCAGGGGACCUUUGGGCCUUGCGCUAGCCGAGCGGCCGAUGUCCGAUUAGCUAGUUGGUGGGGUAAAGGCCUACCAAGGCGACGAUCGGUAGCGGGUCUGAGAGGACGAUCCGCCACACUGGGACUGAGACACGGCCCAGACUCCUA
rnacentral:rRNA from 1 species